rnacentral:rRNA from 1 species
GGAUAGUGGAAUUCUAAGUGUAGAAGUGAAAUUCGUAGAUAUUUAGAGGAACACCAACAGCGAAGGCAGCUAUCUGGCCCUUUACUGACACUCAGAAGCGAAAGCUUGGGUAGCAAACAGGAUUAGAUACCCUGGUAGUCCAUGCUGUAAACGAUGAGUGCUAGAUGUUAGAAGUUUACUUCUAGUAUCGAAGCUAACGCGUUAAGCACUCCGCCUGGGGAGUACGGCCGCAAGGCUAAAACUCAAAUGAAUUGACGGGGACCCGCACAAGCAGUGGAGCAUGUGGUUUAAUUCGACGCUACGCGAAAAACCUUACCAGCUUUUGACAUGCUAAGUUUUGAGUUUAAGAGAUUAAAUUCUUCAGUUCGGCUGGGCUUAGUACAGGUGCUGCAUGGCUGUCGUCAGCUCGUGUCGUGAGAUGUUGGGUUAAGUCCCGCAACGAGCGCAACCCUCAUCCUUAGUUGCCAGCGGUUCGGCCGGGCACUCUAGGGAAACUGCCGGUGACAAGCCGGAGGAAGGCGGGGAUGACGUCAAGUCCUCAUGGCCCUUACGUGUUGGGCUACACACGUGCUACAAUGGCGGUGACAAUGGGCCGCGACCCCGCGAGGGUGAGCCAAUCCCCAAAAGCCGUCUCAGUUCGGAUUGUACUCUGCAACUCGAGUGCAUGAAGUUGGAAUCGCUAGUAAUCGUGGAUCAGCAU